GUCACGGUGGUUAGUGGGUAGAGCACGCGUCCCUGGUAUGGGUGAAAACGCGGGUUCAAAUCCCGCCUGAGGCCA